rnacentral:rRNA from 1 species
GCAGGAUUGACAAAUUGAGAGCUCUUUCUUGAUGGUGGUGCUUGUCCGUUCUUAUUUGGUGGAGCGAUUUGUCUGGUUAAUCCCGAUAACGAACGAGACUCUAGCCUAUUAAAGAGGUGCUUUGUUCUCUGCACCUUGCACCCUUCUUAGAGGGACAAGAGACUCCUAGCCGCACGAAACAGAGCAACAACAGGUCUGUGAUGCCCUUAG